rnacentral:rRNA from 1 species
CCGAAAGGAGCGCUAAUACCGCAUAAGACCACGGAGUCUCCGGACGCUGUGGGAAAAAGGUGGCCUCUUCUUGAAAGCUACCACCGAAGGAUGAGCCUGCGUCCCAUCAGCUAGUUGGUAAGGUAAUGGCUUACCAAGGCGAAGACGGGUAGCUGGUUUGAGAGAAUGAUCAGCCACACUGGCACUGGAACACGGGCCAGACUCCUACGGGAGGCAGCAGUGAGGAAUAUUGGGCAAUGGGCGAAAGCCUGACCCAGCCACGCCGCGUGAGUGAUGAACGGCCCUCGGGUCGUAAAGCUCUGUGGAGAGGGAACCGAAAACCCUGGUUUACAAAUAGGCUCCAGGCUUGACGGUACCUCUUUAGCAAGCACCGGCUAACUCUGUG